rnacentral:rRNA from 1 species
GGGGAUGACGUCAAGUCAUCAUGGCCCUUACGGCCAGGGCUACACACGUGCUACAAUGGUCGGUACAAAGGGUUGCCAAGCCGCGAGGUGGAGCUAAUCCCAUAAAACCGAUCGUAGUCCGGAUCGCAGUCUGCAACUCGACUGCGUGAAGUCGGAAUCGCUAGUAAUCGUGAAUCAGAAUGUCACGGUGAAUACGUUCCCGGGCCUUGUACACACCGCCCGUCACACCAUGGGAGUGGGUUGCUCCAGAAGUAGCUAGUCUAACCGCAAGGGGGACGGUUACCACGGAGUGAUUCAUGACUGGGGUGAAGUCGUAACAAGGUAGCCGUAGGGGAACCUGCGGCUGGAUCACCUCCUUA